CUUUCGCAAGGCACUGUAGCUUGGCUCAGGGUUGCCAGUGUACGGGACUUUCCGCUGGCACCACACGCCACACUACAUACUGCUGAAUUUACUCAAGAAAAAUUGCCAAGAGUUAGUGAGUUAGAAAUGUGAGUGACUGAAAAGAGAUGUACAACGCCCAUGCUAGAAACUGCUGACUGCUGCGGUCUCUGCCAAAUCAUCCUGAAAAGAGAUGUAACACAUUAGGGACCACCCCGGUGAGAAGGGAACAGGGUGAGGCUCUGUCCAGACUGACAGAAAGAUUGACUGCAUCCUAUCCGCUGUUGCUUCCAAAAUGUGCCCAGCUCUCAGUUUAGCACUGCAAGUAUCUUCUUGUUUGAGGGUGUCAGCCACUCAAUGGCAUUAUGGGAAUACCGUCCAGGACACUCUGGGGAGGACAUUAAAGACCAGAAACAAAGACACCUUGAAACAACGUGAACAAGACUGAAGCUGUGGUGUAUGAGCGUGGUCAUCUUGUCACCCCUUAAGGAUAAAUCGCAAUUGAGUGGGCCCAGCAGGCCAGGUCACAGCCAAGUGGACCAGAAGGAGGAGAGCCCAUGGGGCCCUGGCCAGGAGCUGUUAGGCAUGCUGAAUUGAUGUAGAAUUGCCAGGAAAAUUUAAAGGGAGGGGAGAGAAAAAUGGGCACACUAUCACACACAUUAACUCCUCCCUCUGCUUUUUCUUUUGUGACUUUGGCUAAGAACCAAACCAAACAAAACAAAACAACUAAAUAGCCAGAAUUUUCAGAACGCCUUUUAUUGAGGGUACAUUCCCCAGUCCACUGUUAUUUACACAUUACUGCCAGGAUUGAUUUAGCUGUGAUUGAUUUCAUUUCAAUCUGAAUGUUUUUGGCUACAUGUGGCUAAGAACUAGAAGGCCCACAACUUUGGAAAAUGUUUUCUCAAAAGUUAUGGCUAAUUGACCUAAUUGGCUGCCAGUGGGAUGCACACUUUGAAUCUGCUCCAGUGACAUUUCUAAUGCAGUAGCGUGGUGUCAUUCUGCAUCUCGUUCAUUGGAAACACUUGUACAGUAAAUAAGGCAUGGAGAGACAGGGGGACUACACCACAAAAACCAAGGUUAAAAUGGAGAGUUUAGAGAGCAUUUACAGACCGUAGCGGUAGAGUUUUGAAUUGUCCUAAGUCAAAAUGUUAACCAGUGCAUUUCAACGUCAAUAAAACAAUUUUCUAUGAUACACCAGAACUGGUGCCUACAUGCAA